rnacentral:rRNA from 1 species
UACGGAGGGUGCAAGCGUUAUCCGGAUUCACUGGGUUUAAAGGGUGCGUAGGCGGGCAGAUAAGUCAGUGGUGAAAUACCUGAGCUUAACUUGGGAACUGCCAUUGAUACUAUUUGUCUUGAAUACUGUGGAGGUCAGCGGAAUAUGUCAUGUAGCGGUGAAAUGCUUAGAUAUGACAUAGAACACCAAUUGCGAAGGCAGCUGGCUACACAAAUAUUGACACUGAGGCACGAAAGCGUGGGGAUCAAACAGG